GGGCGGGCCGGGGCGGGGCCUGGCGGGUUGGGGCGGGGCCAGCCGGGAGGUGUGCGAGCGGCGGAGAAGGAUGCUUUUCCAGUCUGCAGAGCUGGCUGGGCCUAAGCCUCAUGCAACCUUUCCUAAGAUUUUCUCUUCUGCUGGUCCAGUUUGGAUGUCAUUCUGUUUCUUACAACCAAUGGCUAAGGCUCCAGCCCCAGUGACCUCCUCAUUCCGGUCUGUAGCUCCUGAUGUGUACUAAGGUGACUCUACCCCAUUUUCAAACAUUCUCCUAUAUCUCACAGUAUCCAUCACAUGCCUGUAUCCACUGACAUACUGUUUUAUUUAUUAAUAUGGUGCUAGUGGGACAGUAGUGAUGGAUGGCUUGCCACCAGGAGCAUUGAUUACCCUUCCAGAGAAUCGAGGUUUGAUUCCUAGCGUGAAGAUGACAGUUCACAGCCAGCUAUUAUUUCAUUUCCAGGGUGCACAGACAUACAUGCAGGCAAAACAUCCCUGUACAUAAAAUAGAUUGAUUAAUAAAAUAAUGAAAGCAAUCUGGAUUACUAUGCUU
rnacentral:lncRNA from 1 species